AAUUAAGUGAAAUAAUUGAAGAAUAAUGUGAAAAUGGGCACGGUGUGCAGGUUAAAAAUCGACUUCUGGGAAAUACGCCCAGAGAAUGAGCAUGCAUUGGUUUUUAAAUAGGACGACCUGAAGCGCAGUGUUUCCCUUUUACGAUAGGAAGAUUAAAAACCAUCUCAGCAGGCAACAGCUUACCGAAGCACAGCCGGCAAUAAAUGAAGAUACCCAGGACUCUAUUUGUUGUUUUGCUUGACACCG